rnacentral:sRNA from 1 species
UCUACCUACAAUACACACAUACUUAAUGAUUGGUAAUUCCUUACAAGUUAAUGAGUUUCAGACUUAAGUAUGAUGUUGUGUUUGCAUAUAGUUCGGUUCUCCGAACUGGAGUAACAAUUAAGUUACUCAUUUACUUCCUGUAUAUA